CGGCGGACGGGUGAGUAACGCGUGGGUAACCUGCCUCAUACAGGGGGAUAACAGUUAGAAAUGGCUGCUAAUACCGCAUAAGACCACAGUACUGCAUGGUACAGUGGUAAAAACUCCGGUGGUAUGAGAUGGACCCGCGUCUGAUUAGGUAGUUGGUGGGGUAACGGCCCACCAAGCCGACGAUCAGUAGCCGACCUGAGAGGGUGACCGGCCACAUUGGGACUGAGACACGGCCCAA
rnacentral:rRNA from 1 species